rnacentral:rRNA from 1 species
UCAAGUGAAGAAGCGCAUACGGUGGAUGCCUUGGCAGUCAGAGGCGAUGAAAGACGUGGUAGCCUGCGAAAAGCUUCGGGGAGUCGGCAAACAGACUUUGAUCCGGAGAUCUCUGAAUGGGGGAACCCACCUAGGAUAACCUAGGUAUCUUGUACUGAAUCCAUAGGUGCAAGAGGCGAACCAGGGGAACUGAAACAUCUAAGUACCCUGAGGAAAAGAAAUCAACCGAGAUUCCCUUAGUAGUGGCGAGCGAACGGGGAUUAGCCCUUAAGCUUCAUUGAUUUUAGCGGAACGCUCUGGAAAGUGCGGCCAUAGUGGGUGAUAGCCCCGUACGCGAAAGGAUCUUUGAAGUGAAAUCGAGUAGGACGGAGCACGAGAAACUUUGUCUGAACAUGGGGGGACCAUCCUCCAAGGCUAAAUACUACUGACUGACCGAUAGUGAACCAGUACCGUGAGGGAAAGGCGAAAAGAACCCCGGAGAGGGGAGUGAAAUAGAACCUGAAACCGUAUGCGUACAAGCAGUGGGAGCCUACUUGUUAGGUGACUGCGUACCUUUUGUAUAAUGGGUCAGCGACUUAUAUUCAGUGGCAAGCUUAACCGUAUAGGGUAGGCGUAGCGAAAGCGAGUCUUAAUAGGGCGUUUAGUCGCUGGGUAUAGACCCGAAACCGGGCGAUCUAUCCAUGAGCAGGUUGAAGGUUAGGUAACACUGACUGGAGGACCGAACCCACUCCCGUUGAAAAGGUAGGGGAUGACUUGUGGAUCGGAGUGAAAGGCUAAUCAAGCUCGGAGAUAGCUGGUUCUCCUCGAAAGCUAUUUAGGUAGCGCCUCAUGUAUCACUCUGGGGGGUAGAGCACUGUUUCGGCUAGGGGGUCAUCCCGACUUACCAAACCGAUGCAAACUCCGAAUACCCAGAAGUGCCGAGCAUGGGAGACACACGGCGGGUGCUAACGUCCGUCGUGAAAAGGGAAACAACCCAGACCGCCAGCUAAGGUCCCAAAGUUGUGGUUAAGUGGUAAACGAUGUGGGAAGGCUUAGACAGCUAGGAGGUUGGCUUAGAAGCAGCCAUCCUUUAAAGAAAGCGUAAUAGCUCACUAGUCGAGUCGGCCUGCGCGGAAGAUGUAACGGGGCUCAAACCACACACCGAAGCUGCGGGUGUCACGUAAGUGACGCGGUAGAGGAGCGUUCUGUAAGCCUGUGAAGGUGAGUUGAGAAGCUUGCUGGAGGUAUCAGAAGUGCGAAUGCUGACAUGAGUAACGACAAUGGGUGUGAAAAACACCCACGCCGAAAGACCAAGGGUUCCUGCGCAACGUUAAUCGACGCAGGGUUAGUCGGUUCCUAAGGCGAGGCUGAAAAGCGUAGUCGAUGGGAAACAGGUUAAUAUUCCUGUACUUCUGGUUACUGCGAUGGAGGGACGGAGAAGGCUAGGCCAGCUUGGCGUUGGUUGUCCAAGUUUAAGGUGGUAGGCUGAAAUCUUAGGUAAAUCCGGGGUUUCAAGGCCGAGAGCUGAUGACGAGUCGUCUUUUAGAUGACGAAGUGGUUGAUGCCAUGCUUCCAAGAAAAGCUUCUAAGCUUCAGGUAACCAGGAACCGUACCCCAAACCGACACAGGUGGUCGGGUAGAGAAUACCAAGGCGCUUGAGAGAACUCGGGUGAAGGAACUAGGCAAAAUGGCACCGUAACUUCGGGAGAAGGUGCGCCGGCUAGGGUGAAGGAUUUACUCCGUAAGCUCUGGCUGGUCGAAGAUACCAGGCCGCUGCGACUGUUUAUUAAAAACACAGCACUCUGCAAACACGAAAGUGGACGUAUAGGGUGUGACGCCUGCCCGGUGCCGGAAGGUUAAUUGAUGGGGUUAGCGCAAGCGAAGCUCUUGAUCGAAGCCCCGAAACGGCGGCCGUAACUAUAACGGUCCUAAGGUAGCGAAAUUCCUUGUCGGGUAAGUUCCGACCUGCACGAAUGGCGUAACGAUGGCGGCGCUGUCUCCACCCGAGACUCAGUGAAAUUGAAAUCGCUGUGAAGAUGCAGUGUAUCCGCGGCUAGACGGAAAGACCCCGUGAACCUUUACUGUAGCUUUGCACUGGACUUUGAGCCUGCUUGUGUAGGAUAGGUGGGAGGCUUUGAAGCGUGGACGCCAGUUCGCGUGGAGCCAUCCUUGAAAUACCACCCUGGCAUGCUUGAGGUUCUAACUCUGGUCCGUAAUCCGGAUCGAGGACAGUGUAUGGUGGGCAGUUUGACUGGGGCGGUCUCCUCCUAAAGAGUAACGGAGGAGUACGAAGGUGCGCUCAGACCGGUCGGAAAUCGGUCGUAGAGUAUAAAGGCAAAAGCGCGCUUGACUGCGAGACAGACACGUCGAGCAGGUACGAAAGUAGGUCUUAGUGAUCCGGUGGUUCUGUAUGGAAGGGCCAUCGCUCAACGGAUAAAAGGUACUCCGGGGAUAACAGGCUGAUACCGCCCAAGAGUUCAUAUCGACGGCGGUGUUUGGCACCUCGAUGUCGGCUCAUCACAUCCUGGGGCUGAAGCCGGUCCCAAGGGUAUGGCUGUUCGCCAUUUAAAGUGGUACGCGAGCUGGGUUUAGAACGUCGUGAGACAGUUCGGUCCCUAUCUGCCGUGGACGUUUGAGAUUUGAGAGGGGCUGCUCCUAGUACGAGAGGACCGGAGUGGACGAACCUCUGGUGUUCCGGUUGUCACGCCAGUGGCAUUGCCGGGUAGCUAUGUUCGGAAAAGAUAACCGCUGAAAGCAUCUAAGCGGGAAACUUGCCUCAAGAUGAGAUCUCACUGGGAACUUGAUUCCCCUGAAGGGCCGUCGAAGACUACGACGUUGAUAGGCUGGGUGUGUAAGCGUUGUGAGGCGUUGAGCUAACCAGUACUAAUUGCCCGUGAGGCUUGACCAU